rnacentral:sRNA from 2 species
UAACUGAACAGUUAGGUGAGGCUCCUAUAUUGGAUAUACGCUAUUGCCCAGAACAUCGACAGAUGCCAAUGGGUCAAACAGAAACAGUCGGAGUAAGGCUUUUUCCAGAUAGCUUUGUAUUUUUUUUGCAAAACGCCAUAUAGUGUUAAAACUGAGCGAGUGUUCAAUGU